rnacentral:rRNA from 1 species
GAUGAACGCUAGCGGGAGGCCUAACACAUGCAAGCCGAGCGGUAUUAUUUCUUCGGAAAUGAGAGAGCGGCGUACGGGUGCGGAACACGUGUGCAACCUGCCUUUAUCUGGGGGAUAGCCUUUCGAAAGGAAGAUUAAUACUCCAUAAUAUAUUGAUUGGCAUCAAUUAAUAUUGAAAGCUCCGGCGGAUAGAGAUGGGCACGCGCAAGAUUAGCUAGUUGGUGAGGUAACGGCUCACCAAGGCGAUGAUCUUUAGGGGGCCUGAGAGGGUGAUCCCCCACACUGGUACUUGGACACGGACCAGACUCCUACGGGAGGCAGCAGUGAGGAAUAUUGGUCAAUGGGUGCAAGCCUGAACCAGCCAUCCCGCGUGAAGGACGACUGCCCUAUGGGUUGUAAACUUCUUUUGUAUAGGGAUAAACCUACCCUCGUGAGGGUAGCUGAAGGUACUAUACGAAUAAGCACCGGCUAACUCCGUGCCAGCCGCCGCCGUAAAAC